CAACAAUCAAGCAACGCUUGGUGUUGGGCCCGCGGCCCCUCCCCAGCGGGGGGCCCGCCCGAAACGCAUCGGCGAGGAGACCGACCCCCGGCGUCUUGAGAAUCUCACGGUUCGCACGUCGGGAGCACCGGUGGCCUCCGCCGCAACCCAUUGAAUAUUUCAAA
rnacentral:misc_RNA from 1 species